UAAGACAGAGGGGGCGAGCGUUGUCCGGAGUCACUGGGCGUAAAGCGCGCGCAGGCGGUGGCCUAAGUGUCGUGUGAAAGCCCCCGGCUCAACCGGGGGAGGCCAUGGCAGACUGGGCGACUGGAGCUGCGGAGAGGCCCCUCGAAUUGCCGGUGUAGCGGUGAAAUGCGUAGAGAUCGGCAGGAAGACCAAGGGGGAAGCCAGGGGGCUGGCCGCGAGCUGACGCUGAGGCGCGACAGCGUGGGGAGCCAACCGGAUUAGAUACCCGGGUAGUCCACGCCGUAAACGAUGACCACUCGGCGUGUGGCGACUAUUGACGUCGCGGCGCGCCCAAGCUCACGCGAUAAGUGGUCCGCCUGGGAACUACGAGCGCAAGCUUA
rnacentral:rRNA from 1 species